UACAGAGGGUGCGAGCGUUAAUCGGAAUUACUGGGCGUAAAGCGCGCGUAGGCGGCUUUGCAAGUCGGGUGUGAAAUCCCCAGGCUCAACCUGGGAACUGCAUUCGAGACUGCAUUGCUAGAGUAUGGGAGAGGGAAGUGGAAUUUCCGGUGUAGCGGUGAAAUGCGCAGAUAUUGGGAAGAACACCGGUGGCGAAGGCGGCGACCUGGUCCGUGACUGACGCUGAGGCGCGAAAGCGUGGGGAGCAAACAGG
rnacentral:rRNA from 1 species